rnacentral:rRNA from 1 species
GACGAACGCUGGCGGCGUGCCUAAUACAUGCAAGUAGAACGCUGAAGGAGGAGCUUGCUUCUCUGGAUGAGUUGCGAACGGGUGAGUAACGCGUAGGUAACCUGCCUGGUAGCGGGGGAUAACUAUUGGAAACGAUAGCUAAUACCGCAUAAUAGCAGUUGUUGCAUGAUAACUGUUUGAAAGGUGCAAUUGCACCACUACCAGAUGGACCUGCGUUGUAUUAGCUAGUUGGUGGGGUAACGGCUCACCAAGGCGACGAUACAUAGCCGACCUGAGAAGGGGCUCGGCCACACUGGGACUGAGACACGGCCCAGACUCCUACGGGAGGCAGCAGUAGGGAAUCUUCAGCAAUGGACGGAAGUCUGACCGAGCAACGCCGCGUGAGUGAAGAAGGUUUUCGGAUCGUAAAGCUCUGUUGUAAGAGAAGAACGAGUGUGAGAGUGGAAAGUUCACACUGUGACGGUAUCUUACCAGAAAGGGACGGCUAACUACGUG